AUUGUAUCCACGAUUGGGGAAUUUUCCGCAAUGGGCGAAAGCCUGACGGAGCAAUACCGCGUGAGGGAGGAAGGCUCUUGGGUUGUAAACCUCUUUUCUCAAGGAAGAAAAAAAUGACGGUACUUGAGGAAUAAGCAUCGGCUAACUCCGUGCCAGCAGCCGCGGUAAUACGGAGGAUGCAAGCGUUAUCCGGAAUGAUUGGGCGUAAAGCGUCCGCAGGUGGCUAUGUAAGUCUGCUGUUAAAGAGUCUGGCUCAACCAGAUAAAGGCAGUGGAAACUACAUGGCUAGAGUGCGUUCGGGGCAGAGGGAAUUCCUGGUGUAGCGGUGAAAUGCGUAGAGAUCAGGAAGAACACCGGUGGCGAAAGCGCUCUGCUAGGCCGCAACUGACACUGAGGGACGAAAGCUAGGGGAGCGAAUGGGAUUAGAUACCCCAGUAGUCAAUCGUGGAUACAAU
rnacentral:rRNA from 1 species